ensembl:snRNA U1 U1 spliceosomal RNA
AUACUAACCUGGCAGGGGAGAUACUAUGUCCGCGAAGGUGGUUUUCCCAGAACAAGGCUUACAUACUGCACUCCGGAUGUGCUGACCCCUGCGAUUUCCCCAAAUGUGGGAAACUCGACUGCAUAAUUUGUGGUAGUGGGGGACUGUGUUUGCACUCUCCCCUG